AUGGGAACGCGAAGAACCUUACCUAGACUUGACAUCUUCUGCAUUAAUCGUAAUGGAUGAAAUCCCUUCGGGGACAGAAUGACAGGUGGUGCAUGGUUGUCGUCAGCUCGUGUCGUGAGAUGUUGGGUUAAGUCCCGCAACGAGCGCAACCCUUAUUACUAGUUGCUACCAUUUAGUUGAGCACUCUAGCGAGACUGCCGUGGUUAACGCGGAGGAAGGUGGGGAUGACGUCAAAUCAUCAUGCCCCUUAUGUCUAGGGCUACACACGUGCUACAAUGGCUGGUACAGAGAGACGCUAAACCGUGAGGUGGAGCCAAACUUUAAAACCAGUCUCAGUUCGGAUUGUAGGCUGAAACUCGCCUACAUGAAGCUGGAGUUGCUAGUAAUCGCGAAUCAGAAUGUCGCGGUGAAUAC
rnacentral:rRNA from 1 species